UUGAACGCUGGCGGCAUGCCUUACACAUGCAAGUCGAACGGUAGAGGGGCAACCCUUGAGAGUGGCGAACGGGUGAGUAAUGCAUCGGAACGUGCCCAGUCGUGGGGGAUAACGCAGCGAAAGCUGCGCUAAUACCGCAUACGAUCUAUGGAUGAAAGCGGGGGAUCGCAAGACCUCGCGCGAUUGGAGCGGCCGAUAUCAGAUUAGGUAGUUGGUGGGGUAAAAGCCCACCAGGCCGACGAUCUGUAGCUG
rnacentral:rRNA from 1 species